GGGACAUCUGUGAGGGCAGUCUGGUUGAGACAUCUGUCACCCCACUAGUGCUAGAGCUGAUUCAGCUGAUCAGACUGGAGAGGCAGGUGUCCCCUUCUCCUCCUCACAGUCCCACGCACAUGUUUCCCAAAGCUGCAUGCUACAUCACUAAGUCGGAAAGGACAACCUUUCCUGAGUAGAGUAGCUGGGUUUUUGGUUAAGGGUAUAUGACGAGUGGCUGCACUCCUCCACACAAGCUAACAAGUUCCCAGGCUACACAGCUAGGUGUGAGAGGACCAGACACUGAGUCAGGCUGUCCCGAAGGUUCACCUGUCUACAGGACUACCGUUC
rnacentral:snRNA from 1 species